UUCAUAUAGUCCUUUUAUUUCCAGUUUUUUAUUUACUUUAUAUUUUCCUCUUAUUUCCCAUUCACCGCUACCACUCUUCCAAAUGAGGGCUCUUUCUUUCUGCUUUUCGGAGUUAUAAUAAAAAAAUACCCAAG